GACGAACGCUGGCGGCGUGCCUAACACAUGCAAGUCGAGCGGGGUGGAGGCGAGAGGUAACUCAAGCUUCUACCUAGCGGCGGACGGGUGAGUAACGCGUGGGCAACCUGCCUCAAGGAUCGGGAUAACAGCUCGAAAGGGCUGCUAAUACCGGAUAUGCCUAUGGCCUCGCAUGGGGCUGUGGGCAAAGGGGAAACCCGCCUUGAGAUGGGCCCGCGUCCCAUCAGCUAGUUGGUGAGGUGAAGGCUCACCAAGGCGACGACGGGUAGCCGGCCUGAGAGGGUGACCGGCCACACUGGGACUGAGACACGGCCCAGACUCCUACGGGGGCAGCAGUGGGGGAUCUUGCACAAUGGGCGAAAGCCUGAUGCAGCGACGCCGCGUGAGCGAAGAAGGCCUUCGGGUUGUAAAGCUCUGUCUGGAGGGACGAAGAAAGUGACGGUACCUCCGGAGGAAGCCACGGCUAACUACGUGCCAGCAGCCGCGGUAAGACGUAGCGUG
rnacentral:rRNA from 1 species